AAAAAGCAGAAGAGGGAAGGAGAAAGAGGGAGAGAGGGGGAGAGAGAGAGGGAGGCUGUCAGGACCUGCACCACUGAGAGCUUUGCGUUUAUUCCCUUUAAUGCGAGGGAUAAACAUUGAAAUGUCUCUUUUUUGUGUGUUGGGGUUGAGCCUACAUUUUUCAUUUGCUCUGCUGCUGCGGAGAUAUUCCGGAAUGUGGAUGCUAUGAAUAUCCCUGGCAGAUGUGGAUUACAGAUCGCUAAUCACUAGCAUGACCCGGAUGGUUUGGACUGAAGAAGAGGAUCCUGGCGCUGACAUUAUACAUUUAACUGUACUCUGGGAAUUGACCCCAAGGAUCCACCCAUUUCUCUUUGCUGAAAACGGAUCUGACUCUGACAUAUUUGCAGCUUUUUCGCCCUGAUGUCUUAAUAGCGAGUCCGCAAAUACCGAGAUCAACCGUGCGCUCUCUGAGGGCUUCCUCGGUACUGAUCCAAUCCCGAAUGGACAUUGCGCUCUUUACCAGCCAUCGCUCUUGGUUCAGGCUUUUCACAGAAACGAUCAAUACGGAUACGAUGUCAGUUUAAACAUUUAAAGGGCAGUUAAAAGCCUUUUUUAGUUCCCUUUUCCGAGUAGAGUAACUAUAGCCUGGCCAUAUGGGCUGCCCAAACUCUCCGGGGAGAUUGGGCAGGUGCGAUUGAGUUAUUUUUCCUCAUCACAAAAGAAAGAUGACACGUCUUGACCUUUCCUAUCAUAUCAUCGGGUCAAAGCAAGACUCCCAAUGAGAAAGGCCUGUGUGUGUGUGUCACAGUGGAGAAUUGUUUUAGCUGUUUAUGUCUAGAGCUGCAGGUUCCAAUAGAAAAAAAACGUUCAUAGAAGCAGCAACAGAGACAUCUGCUUUAUGGAACGUUGUGCUGAGGAUCCAAUGCACCUGAACACACACACACACAAAGAAUAUAUCCAAUCUAUGACUUAAAGGGAAUAUGUUUGACUGGAGACGCUUCUACUAUAAAAUCAAAGAGCCUUGCUCGGAAGAGGAGCUAUUAAACAGGAGGAGGGGGUCGUGUCUUCCUGCGCGACCCCUUGCCAUUUUGCUUUGACCUAAGUCUCUGACUCUCCGUGUUCACAGCGGACCUUGAUUUAAUGUCAUACAAUUAAGGCACGCGGUGAAUGCCAAGAGUGGAGGCUCAAUGCAGCCCCUGAAGACUUCUCUUGUCUGCGCGACAACAGAACACAACACGCGUCAGCGACAAAUUAACUCGAGUGCCGCAGUUUUAAGUGAUGGAAAUGCAACACCAGUGGCGCAUUGUAUGUAAUUAGGAUGUGGGGGUUUGGGAGAAAGGUAACCAGCUGUCAGGGGCCUUCUGUCAACUGCCCUAACCCCUCUACCAUAAAAUUUUAUAUAUGUACUGGUAAUUUAUACAAAAUGUGUGAAUCAUGUAUAUAUUGUAUUGUUAAAGAAAUGACUGUAAAAACAAACUGUUCCCUUGUUAAGAAGGAAAUAAAACUCAUUAAGGAC